GCAAAAAUUAAGGGGUUUAUCAUCAUGGCUUUUACUCAAGUAACACAAGUCAAAUAGCAAAUCAAACAUAAUUUUGAAAUUACUCAACUUUUCCAACCCCUCUUUCUUUCACAUAUGUGUGUCCUGUUACAUUCACCCUCAACAAACAAAUUUGUGAAUUACACCUUUUACCUACACCACACUCCUUCAUUUUUAUUUGGGGUUUGAUGGAGUUCUAAAUUCUAGAUAAUUAAAAGUUGUCCAUGACUAGGAAUGUGCCAAAACCUGGGAAGAAUUUAUUUACACUUAUAUAAUCUAAACGUUGAGAUUCUUUCCUCCAAAACAAACCUCUGUAAGGAAUUGUGAAAGGGCUGAAAUUUUAGCCUACUUGCAAACUAGUAAGUCAGUCUGCCACAAUUUCAUAUGUACUGGCAGAAAACAAAACACUCUUGGGUCAGAGACAUAGGAUUUUACUCCUCAUGGCACAGAAAGCACUAUGAGCUUCAUGUUUGUGUCAGCUCCCUUCUUACUCAAAUCCUACAGAAUGACAUAAAAUGGUUCCUGUGGAAGCUUUGCACGCAGAGGGUUUGCAUCAGAGCUGAGGAACCCUGAGUUUAGAAAACCUUGAGUUUCUGUAAUGGACUGGAAGCAAAUCUGCCUAAUCUUUUCCUAGAGGGAAACAUUAUCUUUAUCACACUAGGCAGCCCACAAAUCUACCCUUUACUCUGAGGGACACACCAUACAUUCUAAGCUGCUUGUUAUACAAACAUCCAUAAGAGAUAAUCUGGAACAAAAGGAAUCAGUGCCUCUGCUUGUGCAGUAAUAUGAUAGACUCAUGGAGAACUAUCUCCUCAAACGCUCCUGCCUGUGAACUAUCACAGAACACAUUUUCUGUUCUGUAUCAUACAUUAUCUUAAAUUCAUUUUUUUAUCAAUAUAUCGAGCCUCCCCAAGUCAACCAUAAGCUGCCAUUAAAAAUAACUCAUUUUUACACCAAUAGAUUUACUUAAUUUCUAAGGUAAUGUCAUAACAUGAUUUGUGCUCAAUACAUAUUUAAGAACAAUUACUGAUGAUGAUGAUUGAUUAACUGAUUGGUGCUAAUUGAUUGAUGAAUCGAUGGUGGAAAUUAUACUAUGUCAGGCCUCUGAGCCCAGGCUAAGCCAUCAUGUCCCCUGUGACCUGCAUGUACACAUCCAGACGGCUGGUUCCUGCCUUAACUGCUGACAUUCCACCACAAAAGAAGUGAAAAUGUCCUGUUCCUGCCUCAACUGAUGACAUUGUCUUGUGAAAUUCCUUCUCCUGGCUCAUCCUGGCUCAAAAGCUCCCCCACUGAGUAACUUGUAACCCCCACUCUGCCCGCCAGAGAACAACCCCCCCUUUGACUGGAUUGGGUAGGAUUUACCUACCCAAAUCCUAUAAAACGGCCCCACCCCUAUCUCCCUUCCCUGACUCUCUUUUUGGACCCAGCACACCUGCACCCAGGGGAAAUAAACAGCUUUAUUGCUCACAGAAAGCCUGUUUGGUGGUCUCUUCACACAGACACGAGUGAAAUUUGGUGCUGUGACUUGGAUCGGGGGACCUCCCUUGGGACAUCAAUCCCCUGUCCUCCUGUUCUUUGCUCCGUGAGAAAGAUCCACCUACAACCUCAGGUCCUCAGACUGACCAGCCCAAGAAACGUCUCACCAAUUUCAAGUAUGAUGUUUUGUGAGCAGUUGUAUGAACCCAAAAUGGAGUCAAGAGCUGGACUUAGACAGAUUGGAGCAUAAGAUCACAACUGCUAUGAAGACAUCAAUUAUGGCCAGACAUCCUUUACUAAACGGCAUCCCUCUGACCCUGCACAAUUUUUCAAAUUGUAACAGAACACAAGUCUUCCAAUGCCAGUUUUUUGUUUUUGUAUUUUUCAGAAUAGAAAACAAUGUACUGAGGAAAACAGAAAGUGAAGAAAGUAUAAGAGACCACUGAGGAACAGAGAAAAACACAGAAGAGAUUCAAGGGCAAGCAUGGGCUUCAGCUUCUCGGACACUUAAGCACCUGAAAUAGAAACAGAGAAACCAUAAAAGUUGUAAGUUUACCUCAUCUGCUCCAUCACUGUAUUUGUCACAAGGGGAAUCAGUUCACUUUUGGUAACUUCCUUCUUAAGAGUACUGUCAUCCCCUCAGUGACACAUUGGCUGCCCAGAGUUUCAUCAACAGUGAAACAGCCAAAGCUGACCAUAUAACUUUCAUUCUCAAAGAAGAAGCAUUCCAUGUUAUUGAUAACAUCCACUGGUUAAGAAUUCUGCUCUUGAUGAUGUUAAGAGAGUUGACAUAUUUUCAAUAUCAACUGUCAUUUCUCAAGCUGUAAGCAUAACAGAUGUUUGUUGAAUAAUACUCAGGUAUUUCUUAGAUGGGUGCAGGACACCUAAUGUCUACUCUAAACAUAAAAUCUAUUAUUGAAAAAAUAUAUAAUUGCUGGACCAUUGCUGUUGUUUUCAGAUACAACUGUAUUU
rnacentral:lncRNA from 10 species